ensembl:lncRNA
GGGGGUGCGAGGGGCGAUUGCUGGUGUGCAGUGAGUGUGCAAAGGGGGGUGGGAGGGGCACGGCUGUGCAAGGAGUGUGUAAAGGGGGGUGCAAAGGGUGUGAGUGGUACUGGUGUGCAAUGACUGUGCAAAGGAGGGGGGCUGGUGUGCAAUGAGUGUGCAAAGGGUGUGCAAGGAGUGACACCAGCGUGCAAAGGGCUGUGAGCGGCACUGGUGUGCAAUGAGCAUGCAAAGGAGGCAUGCUGGUGUGCGAGGAGUGAGCAGUGUGUGUGCAAGGAGUGACACCAACGUGCAAAAGGCUUUGAACGGCACUGGUGUGCAAUGAGUGUGCAAAGGAGGGGUGCUGGUGUGCAAGGAGUGAGCAGUGUGUGUGCAAGGAGUGACAUCAACGUGCAAAGGGCUUUGAACGGCACUGGUGUGCAACGAGUGUGCAAAGGGGGGUGUGAGGGGUGGUGCUGGUGUGCAAUGAGUGUACAAAGGAGGGGUGCUGGUGUGCAAGGAGUGUGCAAAGGGUGUGCAAGGAGUGACACCAACGUGCAGAGGGCUGUGAGCAGCACUGGUGUGCAAUGAGCGUGCAAAGAGGGGUGCGAGGGGUGGUGCUGGUGUGCAAGGAGUGUGCAAAGGAGGGGUGCUGGUGUGCAAGGAGCGAGCAAUGCGUGUGCAAGGAGUGACACCAACGUGCAAAGGGCUGUGAGCAGCACUGGUGGGCAAUGAGUGUGCAAAGGGGGGUGUGAGGGGCAGCGCUGGUGUGCAAUGAGUGUGCAAAGGAGGGGUGAUGGUGUGCAAGGAGUGAGCAAUGGGUGUGCAAGGAGUGACACCAACGUGCAGAGGGCUGUGAGCGGCACUGGUGUGCAACGAGUGUGCAAAGGGGGGGUGCAUGGGGUGGUGCUGGUGUGCAAGGAGCGAGCAAUGCGUGUGCAAGGAGUGACACCAACGUGCAAAGGGCUGUGAGCAGCACUGGUGUGCAACGAGUGUGCAAAGGGGGGGUGAAAGGGGUGAGAGCAGUGUGCAAAGGGCUGUGAGCGGCACUGGUGUGCAACGAUGUGCAAAGGGGGGGGUGCGAGGGGCAAAGCAGCGCACGUGGGUGUGCAAAGCGCGUUGUGCACGAGUGUGCACGAGUGGGUGUGCAAGGCGGGCUGAGUGUGCACAGGUGUGCAAGGCCGACAGGCGGG